GGGGUGCUGGAGACUAAACCCUAAAUCAUAAAAUUGAAAUGAUACAGAGAAGAUUAUCAUGGCCCCUGUGCAAGGAUAACUGCAAAUUUGUGAAGUGUUCCAUAUUUUU